rnacentral:lncRNA from 1 species
UUUUUUUGUGUUUUUUGAAUCAAUAAAAUACUGAGUUAAGUCAAAAUUAACCUAAUUAAAAUCUAAUUAAAUUAAUCAAAACCUAAACUAAAUUUAAAUUAAAGCCUAAUGAAAUAAGGACCUAUUUAAUUAAUAGCUAAAUGAAAUAACCAAGCUAAAAAUAAAAGGAAAACAUAAAAAUAGCAUAAAAAUGGAGAAUAAAAGAAAAUAAAAA